UGGGGAAUGUUGGACAAUGGGGGAAACCCUGAUCCAGCCAUCCCGCGUGUGCGAUGAAGGCCUUCGGGUUGUAAAGCACUUUUGGCAGGAAAGAAACGUCAUGGGUUAAUACCCCGUGAAACUGACGGUACCUGCAGAAUAAGCACCGGCUAACUACGUGCCAGCAGCCGCGGUAAUACGUAGGGUGCAAGCGUUAAUCGGAAUUACUGGGCGUAAAGCGUGCGCAGGCGGUUCGGAAAGAAAGAUGUGAAAUCCCAGAGCUCAACUUGGGAACUGCAUUUUUAACUACCGGGCUAGAGUGUGUCAGAUGGAGGUGGAAUUCCGCGUGUAGCAGUGAAAUGCGUAGAUAUGCGGAGGAACACCGAUGGCGAAGGCAGCCUCCUGGGAUAACACUGACGCUCAUGCACGAAAGCGUGGGGAGCAAACAGG
rnacentral:rRNA from 1 species